rnacentral:pre_miRNA from 1 species
AGAUUGCUCCAUUCGGAAUUACUUGUCACAGAAAUGGAUGUAUCUAGAUAUAUUUUAGUUUUAGAUACAUCUAUAUCCGAGACAAGUAAUUCCGAACGGAGGGAGUACCAU